AGAUCACCUUCAGUUCUAAAAUCUGGUGCUGAGUGCUGGAGAUAAAGAAAGCCCCCACUCCAUGCCUUGAAGAAGCUUCCGUUCUGUCAAUAGUUACCAGGCAGACCAGGUGCCAAUUUGUCUCUUGAGAAGAGUUACCUCCUCCUGUUUCCCAGGCGAGCUGGCCAAGGCUGUCUUGAGGCAAAAUGGUGAGAAGACCGGGUACCUGAGAUGACUUCUUAGGCAUAGAGCAAUACACAGUCCCAAAGGACAGCUGGGAAUGAAGACAUCUCUAGGGGGAGGGCUCAGAACUCAGUCCUCCUGGCCCCACCUCCACUUGUCC
rnacentral:lncRNA from 1 species